rnacentral:rRNA from 1 species
GAUGAACGCUAGCUACAGGCUUAACACAUGCAAGUCGAGGGGCAGCAUGGUCUUAGCUUGCUAAGGCCGAUGGCGACCGGCGCACGGGUGAGUAACACGUAUCCAACCUGCCGUCUACUCUUGGACAGCCUUCUGAAAGGAAGAUUAAUACAAGAUGGCAUCAUGAGUCCGCAUGUUCACAUGAUUAAAGGUAUUCCGGUAGACGAUGGGGAUGCGUUCCAUUAGAUAGUAGGCGGGGUAACGGCCCACCUAGUCUUCGAUGGAUAGGGGUUCUGAGAGGAAGGUCCCCCACAUUGGAACUGAGACACGGUCCAAACUCCUACGGGAGGCAGCAGUGAGGAAUAUUGGUCAAUGGGCGAGAGCCUGAACCAGCCAAGUAGCGUGAAGGAUGACUGCCCUAUGGGUUGUAAACUUCUUUUAUAAAGAAAUAAAGUCGGGUAUGGAUACCCGUUUGCAUGUACUUUAUGAAUA